CGAGUCUGUAACUGUUGCUUAUACACUACAGGACAGUGAUGGUGACAAAAGUGAUGAUCUGGUCGUGGAUGUGUCCAACGAGGAUCCUGCCACUCCAAGGGUCAGCCCGUCUCACUCUCCUCCUGAGAAUGGACUUGAUAAAGCCAGAGCGCUGAA